rnacentral:rRNA from 1 species
GUGCCAGCCGCCGCGGUAAUACGCAGGGGGCGAGCGUUGUCCGGAAUGAUUGGGCGUAAAGGGCGCGUAGGCGGCCUGUUAAGUCUGGAGUGAAAGUCCCGCUUUCAAGGUGGGAAUUGCUUUGGAUACUGGCGGGCUUGAGUGCAGGAGAGGUCAUUGGAAUUCCCAGUGUAGCGGUGAAAUGCGUAGAGAUUGGGAGGAACACCAGUGGCGAAGGCGAGUGACUGGACUGUAACUGACGCUGAGGCGCGAAAGUGUGGGGAGCAAACAGGAUUAGAUACCCUGGUAGUCCACACUGUAAACGAUGAGUGCUAGGUGUAGGAGGUAUCGACCCCUUCCGUGCCGCAGUAAACACAAUAAGCACUCCGCCUGGGGAGUACGGCCGCAAGGUUGAAACUCAAAGGAAUUGACGGGGGCCCGCACAAGCAGCGGAGCAUGUGGUUUAAUUCGACGCAACGCGAAGAACCUUACCAGGUCUUGACAUCCACUUAAGCCUGUAGAGAUACAGGGUGAGCUUGCUCGAAGUGAGACAGGUGGUGCAUGGUUGUCGUCAGCUCGUGUCGUGAGAUGUUGGGUUAAGUCCCGCAACGAGCGCAACCCUUAUGUCCAGUUACUAACGCGUAGAGGCGAGGACUCUGGAGAGACUGCCGGGGACAACUCGGAGGAAGGUGGGGACGACGUCAAAUCAUCAUGCCCCUUAUGACUGGGCUACACACGUGCUACAAUGGCCACCACAGAGAGAAGCGAAGCCGCAAGGCAGAGCGAAUCUCAAAAAAGUGGUCCCAGUUCGGAUUGUGGGCUGCAACCCGCCCACAUGAAGUCGGAGUUGCUAGUAAUCGCGGAUCAGCAUGCCGCGGUGAAUUACGUUCCCGGGCCUUGUACACACCGGCCCGU